rnacentral:rRNA from 1 species
UACGGAGGGUGCAAGCGUUAUCCGGAAUCAUUGGGUUUAAAGGGUCCGCAGGCGGUUUAAUUAGUCAGUGGUGAAAGCCUACAGCUCAACUGUAGAACUGCGAUUGAUACUGUUAGACUUGAAUUCGGUCGAAGUGGGCGGAAUGUGACAUGUAGCGGUGAAAUGCUUAGAUAUGUCACAGAACACCGAUAGCGAAGGCAGCUCACUAGGCCUGGAUUGACGCUCAGGGACGAAAGCGUGGGGAGCAAACAGG